UUUAAAACAGCCAUAGGCUGCUCUGAACAGCCACCAGCUGGCUCUCAUCUCACAGACUCGCUUCCGGGCAACAGCAGGUGCAUAUUCCAGAGCUAGGUGUGUUAAGUCACACUCGCCCCUAGCGGGCUCUGGGACAUUUCUAUCCACCCUGGGAGUAUGCUGAAAAGGCUCUGCACCACAGAGACACUUCUGCAGAGAAGGGAAGAGACUCUUUCAUUGUGAGCAUGGAGCCUGACAGUGAGAAAGGUCAGCCAGAGGGCGACCCAACUAGACAGAGAAGCAGCCCAGGGAACCCAGGUGACGUAAUUAACCGGAGAGGGAGGAGGUUGGAGAGCAGGAACACAGGCACAUCUGACAGAAAGAAGCUCUUAUCACAGCAUACUUCACUGUCCCCAAGCCUUCUCAAGAUGUUGCCAAGAAGUACUGCCUAUAAUACACUCAGAAGUCCAAAGUUUUUGAAAUCUAGUAACCAUAUGUAAUUAUAGAAAGAGAUGAGCACACUGAUUCUUAAAAUAGUGCCUUGAGUGGGGGACAAUGUGAUGAGGAUGUGGCUCAGUUGGCAGAAUGCUUGCUUAGAGUAUGCAGAGCCCUGGGUUCGGUUCCAGCCUUACAGAUCUUUUUCUACAUGAGCUCACAACAGAGAAGACUUUGAAAGGUGCAAGUACCCUCCAGAUCCAUAGGGCUGGAUGGGAGAGCUCCUCGGUGGGAAAGCACUGCUGUUAGCAUGCCCCAGGCAGUGAGUUCGGAUCCACAGCACCACAAAAUAAAUAAAUCCACCUCUAUUCCAAGCAACCUCCAACCCCAAAUCAAAACAAGUUCAAGGUUUGCCGAACUCUUAAAGUGAUAUUAGACAAAAAAAAAUUAAAAUAAAAAUAAAAGAAAUGGUAAGGAGGGAUUAUAGGCCAGCUGGGCACUUCAUUCAAACAUACAUAUCUACAUACACACACCCCAGUUUGGAUCCUCAAAGGAUGUGGUCAUCUAAUUUGCAUAAAUAAGAUGGAAAGCAAUUUCCAGAAUUUUAAUUCACAACACCUUGCACAUUUGGCCCUUGGAGCACAGCUACAGAAUCUGAAAGGCAGAGGUUCUCCUUGCUUCCCAACUAUACAGUGACAGCACAGAUUACAAUAUUGUCUAAUGUAUAUUGUCUAAUGUAAUCAUAACCGCCACUUUCGUCCUCAAACCAGCAAAGCUAGAUUUGAGCCACCCAACUUAAUAGUUACUGCAAACUCACAAUACGAGAGAAGCAAAUCAAUAAACUCUUACUAUCAGCACUCAAGACGACCACAUCUGGUGUCCUUUCCUAAAUGUCCUUGCUUUGAAUCCCUGUUAACUUCCCUCUACAGAACAAGAAUCCAAGGACUGCCCUCCUAAGGCCUGCCUGCCUACCCCCCCAUUCCCAAUAGGCCUUCAGUUACCUCUCAGGACGUUAAAGCCAACAGUAUGUGGUAACUAAACUCUCUGCUCAAAUUUAGACAGGUAAGAAAGAUUCUAAAGUAAAUCCUCUUUAAUACCUCUUCAACAGUUUCUGAAAUCAUGCUCUUAAAAAUAGUUUGAAGGAAAGCAAACAUGUAAGUUCUAAGAAGUCAGCCUCUUCUAAGGUUCUGGGAGUUGGAGCAAGGCUUGGCAGGGUCUGGUGCUAUGUAUGAAUGUUCUGAUUGGAGCAUGCCAAUCUCACCUAUGCCAUGAGCUAGGAGUCUCAGUUAUGCUCCAGCACUCCUAAGUCAUCCACGGCCCUGGAAAGGAAUCCACCUCCCUCCAUAAACACCCACCUGGACUCACUCGCACUACAUUUCUGUUUACUAUGAAAAAGUUUUCGUUUCUCUGUGCUUGGCCUAAGAGCAACUCCAGAAGUAGAUGUACUGUUUGCAAGAGCGGGAGAAGUCCCGUAAAGCCACAGGUCCCUUGCUAUCUCAAACCCACAGCCCGACACUGAGCAGGCUGCAGUCACCUACUUCACAGGAGGCGUGUAAGCUAGCUCAAAGCAACUGCAGACACAAUGGCCUUAGAAGGUGUAAAGUCAGUGAAAAUACAAGAUGCUUUAUUAUGUUAUAGAUGGAGACUUUCUCCACUUCUGUCUUACCAGAUCAUGGCCCAGAGUACGAAUAUCUUUAUGGAGAUCCCAGAAUAAAAGCAAUGGUUUAAAAUGAAAGUGCUGAUAUUAGACAUACAGUUGGAGAGAGCAUGCUUGCCUAUCAUGCUCCAGACCUUAGGGUCAACCCUCAAUAUGGGGGGGGGGGCGGAUAUUUUGAGAAAUCUGAAGAUAAUUCAUACUUGAUUUCAUUUUUAAGCAGAAAUAAAAAAAACUCAUAGUAAGUAUUUUUCAAAAGACACCCUUUUGUGUGUGUGCGCACUGUAUCACCACAUACUAACCCAGAAACCACACUGCCUGAAUCUUCAAUCUAAUCCACUAAAGCCAUCCUCAGCAGAGUCAAAUCUCCCGAGGCUCAAAAUACCUAGUCUGGUAUUUAUUGUGUGAGUAAAACAGACUGCAAUUUUAAAGGUAUUUACGCUGUGUGAAUUGUCACUUUGGAGGCAACCAAAAGCCUAAAAAUGACUAGUAAGUUCUGCUCCAAAACAGGGCAAGGCAAGGUGGGUCUUGUGACCUAGGAAAGUGCAAAUAAGAACACUCUGUCCUCUCCAGGAAGUUGUGGCUUGGAAACUGAGAGCCUUCCUCACUAUGCCUCCGACAGACACAUGGCUUUGCAAGUCACUCUUCCAACAGGUGGACACUUAAGAAGUUAUACUCAUUCUACCCACAAGGUUCUAUUAUUUAAUUUUAAAAAAGAAAACUACCUUAAGUAUGCAAAGAAAAACCACACCCCCAGACUGCCUCAACUGUUAAUAAAUAAAAUCCUAGCGAAGAGCAACAGUGUGUUCAUCUCCCAGUAACUGACAGCGCCACCGUGUUCAACCCCACUCUAAGACCAUGCGUUUUCACUAGUAAACUCCAGAGAGGAAGCAACUCCUGGAGAAAAAGCCUAACAGGAGCCACGACAGCUAAAGGGUCUGUCUCAGCCAGCUUCAGGACUCAACACAGCAGGCUGCUCAAGUGAUCCAGGAAAGACAUUCAACUGCUCAAGUGAGAAGCAGACUACUCAUGCUAGGCCUGUUCUGGAAGGCCCCAAUCCCAACAGCACAGAAAUGCUCCUCUGCGGAGUGAAACAGGCUGAGAGGACCAGCCAGGCCCCGGCAACCUCUCCUGAAGCAGCACUACUCCACAACUA